CAUCUCUGUCCUGACGAUUGCUUCCUUGUUUUGCAGCCUUCUUCCUCAGGCGUUCAUUCCUGCAUCGACUGCUUUCUUCCGCCGCCGAUCGACACCCCCUCGUCGUGGUCACGUCUCCGCUCCGCCUGUCUUCCAGAUACUACCAGAAUCGAGAUUGCUGGCCUCAUCUGCAGCAGGGAAACUCUGCCAAAAUUUGUCACUGUUCUGGGCGUGGAAUACCAGUUUUGCCAAAUUUAUUGGCCUGUAUAGAUUGGAAUAAUUUAGGAUGUCGGAACAUCAAACUUGUUGGAUUUUAUAUUUAUAUAUGAAACAGCUUAUGCUGACCAAACUUGGAUUUUUUUUGGAUGUCACAUGGAACAGUUCUCCUGACCAAGGAUUACGAUAUUGCUAGUCUGUGACUGGAAAAAUAUACUGUCAGAUAGCACGUCCCACACCACGCGCAUGGCAUGGCUAUUUCGAAAAAUUUCGAGGAUCAUACUCCUCCUAAAAACCAGGGGAUAAACAUGCAAACAUUAUAUACAUUCUUAUACUUGCUUAGUUAUGUUUUCAUUAUGUUGGAAUGAAAAUCAAACCAAACUUUUCUUUGAUCUCCAAGAUUUGUUUACUAUGAUGACGACCAACAUUAUCUACUAGUAAGUAGUAAGGCUUUGCCUUAGGAUGUAUUGUGGGUUGCAUCUCAUAUGUAAACAUAAAGUAUCACCUUUCUGGAAUUCCUCCGCAGCAUCACUUGGUACUAGCGUUUGAAAAUCUUAAGUUUUGUCACCUCAAUUUUUUUUCAAAGAAAAAUGUCUGGCAGCUAAACUUUGUUGUUUUUGUGUCAUCUUGAGGUGGAAUUUUACCUAGAAAUUUUGUGUCGAUCCAUAUUAUAACCUUGAUUUUUUUAAUAAUUUCCAAAACUCUUAUGCAGAACUUUUAUGGGAUUUCCAUAUUUUCUAAAUUUUUGGCUGUUGUAUCCUUAGUUAAUUAAUUGCUACUUGUCAUGCAAUAGAAGUUCAGGGCUACUAAGUAGAUAUAAAUGGAGUGUUGAAUCUAAGAAACAGUCAUGUUAAAAAGAUAUGAGUUAUGCACUUCUGUAGCAUUAAAGUGGAGUGGAUAUACUGGAAUAUUUCAUUAUGUGCUACAUGUACCUCCAUGAUAAUCAAAUUUUAGUGCAGUACAAAGGGAGCACCUUUAAUUUUGUGCUUAUUAGUUGGUCAAGUUAAAGACAAUAUUGUCAUUAUAAGAACAUGCUAGAAUAAACUUUGUGACUGCUAUGAUGCAACAAACAGUGGCGGCACCAUUACAUAUUUUUAAGGGUAUUUUCUGUGAGCUUUUGUUCAAGUUACAUACUGGAAUUCUGUUUUGUGUAAUAUUAUUGGAUCCAGAUACCAUGGGAUUGAUCCCCAUACUUGGCAUGAUACCGGUUUUUAAUUUCACUUCCCAUUUUUUCUUUUUUCUUCUUUCUACUGCUUUUUUCAGUAUCACAUGGCGACCUGGAAGGUUAUUUUCAUCUUGAUUUUGCUGGCUGUCAGGGUGCAGCAUGUUGCUUGCCGGACUGGUUCAUUGUUUGUUGACAUGGACACCUCCUCUGCUCCUCUGUUCCAAGUUAUGAGCCCACCCCUCCCACAGUCCAAGAAUGAGGACCCCUGUCACAACCGCAUCGUUUCCUGCAACCCAGCUGCAUCUCUUGGGCCUAGGAUUGUGAUUUGGGUGUCUGCCGUCAUAUCUUUCAGCUUGCUUUUUUUUUCCAAUAUGCCGCAUCAUAGGGCUUCAGCCAGGGCAUAGUCAGGAUAGCACAUUAUUCUGGUGGUUCCUCUGCAUAGGUUCUGCUGGUAAUGCUGUGUGGUGGUCUUAUUUCUCAGCCUGCUUUUACGGAGAAGCUUCAGUUUUGCCUAUACUGCUGGCAAACAUCUCAGGGGCAAUUGUCAAUGUAGCCCUGACUCUAGUUGCUACCUGUAGGACUACCACUC